GGUCCUUACAGAUUUACUAUUGAGGUACAGCAGUUGCAUCUCUUAUUUAUCCAAUAGUUUGCCAUAGUUUGCCAUUCUAGAAACAAAAUAUCUUGGAAGUUUGUGACAGCCUUUUACAGUGCCUACUGCAUGAUGUAUUUGAGAAAAAUUUUGGCUAAUAAUGCUAUAAUUUCUCCCUCCUCCAAACAGCUUGAACCUGUCCUGAAGCUCAUAGUGCAUCAAAUGAAAUUUCCAAUCAUUUUAUUUCUCAACAGUUCUUUAUUUAUUAAUAUAAUGUUUGCUUUGGC
rnacentral:misc_RNA from 1 species